UAAAAAAAAUUAUGUCAAGCAAUGAUCAAUGAUUUUUUUACAUAAUAGGAAUUAAUAAACAAUGAAUUAAACCUGCUCGAAUGCUAAGAUGUUUCUAACACCAUCAGGUUAGAAAAGGAUAAUGUAAUCAUUUUUAAACACAUCAUGAUGGCUCCAUGUCCAGGUAAAUCUUUGUGGCAGCAACAAUAUAGUAGAGGCAACAGAAAAUAAAAGAAAAAGGUUGUUCCUCCUUUGAUGUUCGUCAUGGUUCCGAGGAACAUUUCCAUCCCAAGAAAGACAUCACAAACGAACGUUAGUUAGCAAUGGAACAUAAAUGUAUUGAAUACAGGAUGAGGCUUAGGAUGAUCAAUUGACUGGAAAAAAAUUCAAAGUCAUUGUGUCAUUCAUACAUGGAGGAAACAUUGUUCGUUUAUUUUGAAAGAUGUAUCGACAAUAAACAGAGAAUGGCUCAAGAAGUCUGAGCCGUUGCCUAAAGUGUUGUGUCAAGAAAAUGACUAACCGAUACUGCAUAUGUUGAAAGCAAGAGCCAAAAGACCGUGGUCAAAUAUUGAAUUAUAUUAUGAUCAAGUAAAUGCUACAUGUUCCACAUAGCAAAUAGGUCCAAUUAUUAAAAAAAAUAACAAAGCAUACAUAAUGUGGCGAAGAACCUGAAACAAUUACAAUUUUAAACUUCUAUACAGGUGCUUAAGAAAACCUUGGCUAAAGAUUUUGUGUCGAGGAAACACUUCAAAUUGUUCCAGAUCAACUUGAACACACUGCCCACAUACACAACAAAAAUAUGAUGCAAGGUCUGCAAUUUUAAAUUAAAAUUAUUACUGCACUACACCAUAAUACUUCUUUUAAACUAUUGUCAUUUUCUGAACUUAUCACUUCCUCAUAUGAUAAUAAUGGUAAAAUCAUAUAAUUAUAUUUCUCUACAUUAGUAAUCUAACACCAAGAAAAUAAAUAAGCAACCAUAAUCAUUUGUCCAAACCACCAUUUCUCUUAUAAUUUUGUAGAAAAGGGCGAAGUUUAGUUCAGGAACAGAAAUAAGAAAGAUAACAAGAUAUACUAAAAUAUAGGAAUUUAACUGUUUGUCAAAUCAUGAGUUAUGUGCUACUAUCAAAUCUUGAGUUCCACACGAGUGAGACACAUCAUGGCUAAGCAUUCAAAAGGAAAUAACAAGAAAAUCAUUAGAUGAACAAAAAUGGAACAAAUUACGAAUUACUAUAGUGAGUUACAAUUUCAGUACACACACAUACGCAAGACAUUUAUUCCCUGAGUAGGGAAUGCAUAUGAAUGAAAAGUACUUAAAGCUAGUUAUUUUCAGUUUAGGCUUCUCCAGAAAGACAGACUAAAAUCACUUGAUCUGUACAUGGGCAAUAGCUUCUUUCCUUUACUGUUGCAUGCUUCUUUUUAUUAACCCAGUCAAGCAAGCACACUAACAAACGAUUUUGUAUGAAUAUCCUCAAAGCAUUCUACACAAGCGGGUUCAUCUGUCAACAUGUUUUCUUUUGGUCUUGGAAGUGACUAUCUAAAAAGUUCUGUUCAAAAGGGGUUCCUACAAAAUUUAAAAAUCCGAAGCCUUUUACAAAGUAAGUUGAUAACUUCCAGCUAACCUUGAUAGGUGCAUGCAUCUUGUUAUUGGAGGACGCAAAGCCAGGUGAACCUUGGUCGAGAAUCUCAUCGGCGUUCAUGGCGGGCUCAACUUUUGC
rnacentral:lncRNA from 1 species